AACCAGCCAUCCCGCGUGAAGGAUGACUGCCCUAUGGGUUGUAAACUUCUUUUAUAUGCAAAUAAACCUACUUUCGUGAAAGUAGCUGAAGGUAGCAUAUGAAUAAACACCGGCUAACUCCGUGCCAGCAGCCGCGGUAAUACGGAGGGUGUAAGCGUUAUCCGGAUUUAUUGGGUUUAAAGGGUACGUAGGCGGUAAUAUAAGUCAGUGGUGAAAUCCUGCAGCUCAACUGUAGAACUGCCAUUGAAACUGUAUUACUUGAGUAUACUUGAGGUAGGCGGAAUGAGUAGUGUAGCGGUGAAAUGCUUAGAUAUUACUCAGAACACCGAUUGCGAAGGCAGCUUACUAAGGUAUAACUGACGCUGAUGUACGAAAGCGUGGGGAGCGAACAGGAUUAGAUACCCUGGUAGUCCACGCCGUAACGAUGAUUACUCGCUGUUGGCGAUACACAGUCAGUGGCUAAGCGAAAGUUUUAAGUAAUCCACCUGG
rnacentral:rRNA from 1 species